CGUAAAGGGUGAGUAGGCCGGUAACGUGUGUCAGAUGUGAAAGGCGAGGGCUCAACCCUCGUUAGCAUUUGAAACUGCGUAACUUGAGUGCAGGAGAGGUAAGUGGAAUUCCUAGUGUAGCGGCUGAAAUGCGUAGAUAUUAGGAGGAACACCAGUGGCGAAGGCGACUUACUGGACUGUAACUGACGCUGAGUCACGAAAGCGUGGGGAGCGAACAGGAUUAGAUACCCUGGUAGUCCACGCUGUAAACGAUGAGUGCUAGGUGUUGGCCGAGAGGUCAGUGCCGGAGUAAACGCAAUAAGCACUCCGCCUGGGGAGUACGGUCGCAAGACUGAAACUCAAAGGAAUUGACGGGGACCCGCACAAGCAGCGGAGCAUGUGGUUUAAUUCGAAGCAACGCGAAGAACCUUACCAAGGCUUGACAUCCCCUUGACAAGUGCAGAGAUGUACUCUCUCCUUCGGGAGCAAGGGUGACAGGUGGUGCAUGGUUGUCGUCAGCUCGUGUCGUGAGAUGUUGGGUUAAGUCCCGCAACGAGCGCAACCCUUGUCAUUAGUUGCCAGCAUUAAGUUGGGCACUCUAAUGAGACUGCCGGUGAUAAACCGGAGGAAGGUGGGGACGACGUCAAAUCAUCAUGCCCCUUAUGUCUUGGGCUACACACGUGCUACAAUGGUCGGAACAAAGGGAAGCGAAGGCGUGAGCCGGAGCGAAACCUCAUAAACCGAUCCCAGUUCGGAUUGUAGGCUGCAACUCGCCUACAUGAAGUCGGAGUUGCUAGUAAUCGCGAAUCAGAACGUCGCGGUGAAUGCGUUCCCGGGUCUUGUACACACCGCCCGUCACACCAUGGAAGUUGGUAAUACCCAAAGUCGAUGAGCUAACCGUAAGGAGAGCAGUCGCCUAAGGUAGGAUCAAUGACUGGGGUG
rnacentral:rRNA from 1 species